rnacentral:rRNA from 1 species
AUGGCUCAGGAUGAACGCUGGCGGCGUGCUAAUACAUGCAAGUCGAACGAAGCACCUGCGACGGAUCCCUUCGGGGUGAAGAUGCUUGUGACUGAGUGGCGGACGGGUGAGUAACGCGUGGGUAACCUGCCUUAUGCAGGGGGACAACAGUUGGAAACGACUGCUAAUACCGCAUAAGCGCACGGCACCGCAUGGUGCAGUGUGAAAAGAUUUAUCGGCAUAAGAUGGACCCGCGUCUGAUUAGGUAGUUGGUGAGGUAACGGCCCACCAAGCCGACGAUCAGUAGCCGACUUGAGAGAGUGAUCGGCCACAUUGGGACUGAGACACGGCCCAGACUCCUACGGGAGGCAGCAGUAGGGAAUAUUGCACAAUGGGGGGAACCCUGAUGCAAGCGACGCCGCGUGAGUGAUGAAGUAUUUCGGUACGUAAAGCUCUAUCAGCAGGGAAGAUAAUGACGGUACCUGACUAAGAAGCCCCGGCUAACUACGUGCCAGCCGCAGC